AGAGAUGAGCAGGGGCAGAGGUUGCAGGAGGCAGGAGGAGCUGUGUGUUCAGAACUGCAAUCUGGAAAGGCCCGUGGGAUCCUUUGACCUCCAGGUAGACCAGCAGAGCCUUGUGUAGGCAGUGCUGGCGCAGGACACACCAGUGAACCAUCUAUCCAGUUACCAGCUCCAUGAGGGAUGGGAUCUGUUCCUUCUGCCCCCAUUGAAUCCUGGAAUCUAUCAUAGGCCUGGCACUCAGUAGGUACUCAAUAAGUGUUUGCUGCAUUUUAAUUUAAUUUAAUUUAUUUAUUUUGAGACGGAGUCUCACUCUGU